rnacentral:misc_RNA from 1 species
AGAGUACUCAAAAUGAGUCCAUAUCAUUUUAUCUAAAUAAAUCAAUUUAUUAUUCUCAAAUCUCCAGACAAGGGCAUUUCAUGUUCCAACAAAACAAGCAUAAUGUCACAAUUUACUUCACACUGAUCCCCUAAAACCAUGUAAUACAUAGUCAUAGGCUUAUGGCAAAAACCAAGGCACAGCAUACAUGUGAGUUUUAGAUCCCAACAGCUACCAGUCAUGAAUGUCACAUAAUUCAUAAUUGUAUUGCUAAACUUUAAUUAUAUGAUGUGAAUAUGUCACUGAUAAUGAGUUAACCAUUUAGAGAGAAGAAAACCCCUCUUUUUUAAGCAACGUAUCUAGGAAUUUUACUUCCAGAGACUUUUUUUUUUUUUGAGGAAUGUCAGAGACAUAUUCAAUAUGCAUACCCAAUAAUCAGAAGAAAGAAAUACAUCAUAAUUCACUGAAUAUUUUCUUAAGUAGUUCAUGCUGAUGUGAAAAGUAAUCAGCAGUGAUUAUGUUUCCUAGUAUUUUGUAGAUAGUUGUAAAACACAGGACCAUGACAUUUCACAUGGUCAUUGUAGAAAACUAGAUACAGGUGGUAUUAUGCUACAUUAGCCACUUUCAAUACAAGACUAAUUAAAAAAUUCAAGAAGGUAAACUUUCUUUCCU